UGGGGAAUAUUGCACAAUGGGCGCAAGCCUGAUGCAGCCAUGCCGCGUGUGUGAAGAAGGCCUUCGGGUUGUAAAGCACUUUCAGCGGGGAGGAAGGCGAUAAGGUUAAUAACCUUGUCGAUUGACGUUACCCGCAGAAGAAGCACCGGCUAACUCCGUGCCAGCAGCCGCGAUAAUACGGAGGGUGCAAGCGUUAAUCGGAAUUACUGGGCGUAAAGCGCACGCAGGCGGUCUGUCAAGUCGGAUGUGAAAUCCCCGGGCUCAACCUGGGAACUGCAUUCGAAACUGGCAGGCUAGAGUCUUGUAGAGGGGGGUAGAAUUCCAGGUGUAGCGGUGAAAUGCGUAGAGAUCUGGAGGAAUACCGGUGGCGAAGGCGGCCCCCUGGACGAAGACUGACGCUCAGGUGCGAAAGCGUGGGGAGCAAACAGG
rnacentral:rRNA from 1 species